AGACAGGUUCUGGCGUUCUCCGGUCAUGCGGCUCCGGCUCCGCAGCUCUGCGCGGGCGUCCGGGGACAGAGUCAGGAGGCAGAAUGCGAGCAGGGCCAGGCCCAUGGCCAGCGGGAAGUGAGGACGCUCCAUAGUCGCAGAGGCCUGGACCCGCUGCAGGUGCCUGGGGGCGGCUGGCUGUACCUCCCCCACCCAGGAGGACCAGGGCCCGCACACAUGUCCCAGAACCUCUACGUAUAGGGAUGCUGGCCUAUCAUCCCUAUCAUCCAGGAGGGAGAGGACGGCGACAGUUCACCAGCACCAAAGGCCACCACAGGGACAGGACAGUUCCUUCCAUGAACCUGCAGUGUGAAUUGCCAAAGCAGCUAUGGUGGAGCUCUUACUAUGGCUAUCAUUUUCUUGUCCUGGGGCCUUCAUUUCUUCUGGAAAAUAAACGUUGUAAGGAUCUAAUGAACUGACACAGGCACAGAGCCUAGGAAGAGGCUGGGUCCUAUGCAAACAGUAGGGAGGGAGGGAGGGGGAGUCCUUGCUACUGAAGCCACACUGCUUAAUCCUCGCGGCCAUGGUGAAGUGGGGGUGACGGGCGCUUGCAUUUGCAGAUGUGGGAACAACACAGAACGGAGAACUAAUUUGCUCAAAGACAUGAGCUGGUCCCUAGUAAGUGAGGAUACUGAACAGCCUAAGUCAUGUGUGUCUGAGUGUGUGUGUGUGUGUGUGUGUGUGUGUGUGUGUGUGUGUUAUAAAACAAGAUCUUAUGUAUCCUAGGCUGACCUUGAACUUGUGUACUUCAGGAUGACCUUGAACUUCUGAUUUCUCCGGCCCCUACCUUCACAUGCUGGGAUUAGCGUCGUAUUUUAUGUGGCCCUGAGAACCAAACCCAGGGCUUCGUGCAUGUUAGACAAGCACUCUACCAACUGACAUCUCAGCGCCAUUUAGUUUUGUUGGGCUUGAACCUGGGGUCUUGUGUAUGCCGGGCACACACUUUACCACUUAGCUAUAUCUUUAGCCCUCUUUUUACUCAUUUUUAGACAGGGCCUUGUUCAAUCUCGUAGGGAUUACAAGCCCAUGCCACCAGGCCUAGCUCAAAUCUGUGGUUUUUUUGUUGUUUUUUGUUUUUUAAUUCAGAGCUCAGGGCCUUGUGCUUGCUAGGCAAGCUCUACCAACUGAGCUAAAUACACAACCCCAAAAAUCUGUGUUCUUAACCCAGGAUAAGUUUGAAAGGUAAGAACUGCCCCCAAAGAGGGGGGUGUCAUACCAGCUGCCACCUUACUGACUGGGUGGCUUGGAUAAGUCAUUUGGGACUUCGGUGUCCUAUGGGUACU